AGCUCCAAGAAUACGCGGAGGAGGUGGCCCGGGUCGGCGUCGGCGCCGUCCGGCGCGGACCACGGGCCCGCUUCCAAGUGCGUCUGCGCGCCGGCCACCCACGCCGGGUCCUUCAAGUGCUGCUUCCACAGCACGAACUCCCAAGGCCACGGCCAUGGCCAGGGCUAGGGAAGCCGCCCUUCUUCGCCCCCUUCACCGGCCGCGGCCAACGCGGUGCCGCUGCACCCGGCCUCGCCGUCCUCGAGAAUCAAGAACACUCGACAACGGAGAGGGAAUGGAAGAUCAUAUACAUGUCAUAAGAAAGGGAGUUUAUUUACUGCUCCCUCGAUGUAUUGUUUCCUCUGUUUGGAGAUUGAUUACCAUCCGUGA
rnacentral:rRNA from 1 species